rnacentral:rRNA from 1 species
UUUCCUACGGGGGGCAGCAGUGGGGAAUAUUGCACAAUGGGGGAAACCCUGAUGCAGCGACGCCGCGUGAGUGAAGAAGUAUUUCGGUAUGUAAAGCUCUAUCAGCAGGGAAGAAAAAAGACGGUACCUGACUAAGAAGCCCCGGCUAACUACGUGCCAGCAGCCGCGGUAAUACGUAUGGUGCAAGCGUUAUCCGGAAUGACUGGGUGUAAAGGGAGCGUAGACGGUUGUACAAGUCUGAUGUGAAAGCCCACGGCUCAACUGUGGGAGUGCAUUGGAAACUGUAGAACUAGAGUAUCGGAGAG